rnacentral:lncRNA from 1 species
CAAAUUAAUAGGUAACAUUUAUUUUUUGAUCACAAAUUAUUUUUCAAUUACAACUUAAUAAAAUGUAAGUCACAAUCACUUCUUUUGGUCACAUAAUAUUUGUUUCACAAACAUUAACCAAUUUAUUGGUCACAAUCAAUCAAAUAAUUGGUUACAAAACCAUACCUGCCCCUAUUCCAUUCCACCCAACUACCAUUACCACAACCACUGCACCACUGCCACGACCAUCACCAUUGCCACCAUCAUAUCCACCACUAUUGGUAGAUCUACCACCACCACCAAUGUCAAUAAACCACCUCAACAUCACUGAAACCAUGGAAACCACAACCACUCUAACCAACAAAAACCACAAUUACUAACCAUGGAGACUGCUCAUCUACGGAUCGAUACAAAUCACAAACCAUGGCGCACAGUACAGUGGUGGUGAGAGGCGGGUCGAGGUUGGUGCGUAGAAUGAGGCGAUUGUGCAAGGUUGAGCGAUGUUGGCACAAUGCGAUGGUGGUGGGAAAUGGUGCAACACUACGCGAUGAUGGUAUAAUGGAGGAGAGUGGCAUCACCAGAAGGGAUGGCGGCGUCGUUAGUGGUUGGUAGAAAGAGUGAGGAGAGAAGAUGGAGAGAGGAAGAAGG